rnacentral:rRNA from 1 species
AUUGAACGCUGGCGGCAUGCUUUACACAUGCAGGUCGAACGGUAACAGGCCUUCGGGUGCUGACGAGUGGCGCACGGGUGAGUAAUGCAUCGGAACGUACCCAGAGGUGGGGGAUAACGCAGCGAAAGCUGUGCUAAUACCGCAUGUGAUCUGAGGAUGAAAGCGGGGGACCGAGCAGCAAUGUUUGGCCUCGCGCCUUUGGAGCGGCCGAUGUCGGAUUAGCUAGUUGGUGGGGUAAAGGCCUACCAAGGCGACGAUCCGUAGCUGGUCUGAGAGGACGACCAGCCACACUGGGACUGAGACACGGCCCAGACUCCUACGGGAGGCAGCAGUGGGGAAUUUUGGACAAUGGGCGCAAGCCUGAUCCAGCAAUGCCGCGUGCGGGAAGAAGGCCUUCGGGUUGUAAACCGCUUUUGGCAGGAACGAAACGGUGUCCGCUAAUACCGGGCGCUAAUGACGGUACCUGCAGAAUAAGCACCGGCUAACUACGUG